GGGCAAGCAGGUCGUAAGCUGCAAGCCGAGGCGCUCUCACCUCGCAAAUCCAGAGCAAACAUACAAAUGCCAACACUGGCAAAGCGUUCACCUUCCCCUUUGCUCGCACCAACGCUAUGGCGCUGGCUGCGUAACAAGGAGAGGCUCUGAACCAAACUGGUCGCCCAGUGCGACCACGGUGCCCUCGCCGGGGCCAGGCGGCGACGAGGUGCAUCGUCAUAGACCGUAAGGUGCAGCCCGCAGACGCCGAUAGGCGGGACUAAGAUCCUCGGCUAGCCGAGCUAGUGGACGGUGGUCACUGCCGGACCGUUCGGCGAAAUCCUAAUCAGAGACUAAGCUUGUAGGCGCUUACGGUCGUUUGUUU
rnacentral:tmRNA from 1 species